AACAACUGCAACAAGACAUUUUCACACUACUUGCCUACUUGGAAAACUUAAAAAGCUUUGUGACAAUUAUUAUGGACUCAACAACAACAAAAACAGACUGGAUGCCUUUUCCCUGGAGAUCUAGCAGGGUGAAGUUCAUGUCCAAGGCCAGUUACCUGAGGAGAUGGAAGCCAAACGGAAUGCAUCCUGGUGUCGGCCGGGUGCUACAGUCCAGGAUCCUCCUUCUUUUUAAUUCUCCAGACGGUGCCACCAUGAGAGUUUCGUCAUAGUGAAAUGUUUGCUUCAAGGUAAAUUACCAGCUUCCUGUUCUUUUUACAGCAUGAAAUAAUCAGAAACAAUCAGUAGAUACAGAAUAUGUUUUUGUUUUUCUCCAGCAUUUUACUUUUGUAUUUCUCCUGUGGGAAUACCUAAUCACCAAAUCAGGCAGAAGAAAUGAAGGCAUUGACGGGAUCAGCCACGUGUUGAUAAUUUACAAGAAUAUGAAUAGUUAAAGUUGAAUACGAAUAUGAAUAGUUAAAGUUGAAUACAAUCAUUGAGAACUGAAGAAAAGCAAAUGAAAACCCGUUGACUGUCCGUGCUAUAAAAGAGAAUUUUCAAUUGUGUGUCCGGAGGGGAAACAAAACAAAUCCUUGGGAUGUGAACGUCUUUAAAGUCAUUGCUUUAUGUGAAGUUCUCUGCCCCCUUUCCAUCAAUAUUGACAAUCAUAAGAUAGAGAAGCUCUCAUGGAGCCAUUGGCAGCUGAGCAGUGUGUGAAGGCUAAGUGUGUUUGUGUGCUUACGUGCGUGUCUAGAGAGAGGAAGAAAUGGAAGCGAAAAUGUAAUCCUCUAAUCCUCAAAGUUUGGAGUGUAUGCACUUUUCUUGUUUUCGCCUUUUUGUUUGUACAUGCUGAUCAAAUUAUAUAUCUGAGUGUGUUUGGAAGCGUGUGUUGGCUGCCUCGCCCGCCUGCCUGCCUGCUUGCUGGAGACAUCAUGACACCCCACAGCUUGUUUAGUUACACUUGCAUUCUUAAGUUGUGCGCCUGAAAUUUUUUCACGAUGUUCAAAUUUGGCACUCACUACCUUUACCAACAUUCCAAGUCUAUCUUUGCAGCAGUGCACACAGGUAUUGUGCAUUCCAUGAACACGUAAAUGAUAACCAAUGCACACUACAAUAUGCUUCUUAUAUUGCAUCCACAAGAGAUUGGAAUGCGCCUAACAAUCUGAAACAAAAAAACGUACACUAUAUCAUCUGCAAACACUCACUCAUGUUGCAGUUUGAAGGUCAUCGCCAGUGGUGGGUAGAGUAGCCAUAAAUUGUACUCAAGUAAGAAUACUGUUACUUUACAAUCUGACUUAAAAGUUACAUGUAGUCUGACAAAUAAUUACUUGAAUAAUUAUACAGCUAAGAAAAAUAUCAGCUCAAUUACAGAGUAACCGGGGAGUAAUUUUGGAAACAUAAAGUUUUCCAAAUGUGACCAUCACACGGACAAAAUGAUAAAACAGGAUUUUGCAAAUUGAGUUACUCUCCAAUAUUUUCAUUGGUCAAAUGCUGCCAGUGGUUACAUUGGAUUGGUGAAACUGAGUCAUGUGACAUUGCCGGAGGCC